UACAGAGGUGGCAAGCGUUGUUCGGAAUUACUGGGCGUAAAGGGCGCGUAGGCGGUUCGUUAAGUCCUGUGUGAAAUCCCCCGGCUCAACUGGGGAACUGCACAGGAAACUAGCGGGCUUGAGUUCGGGAGAGGGAAGCGGAAUUCCGGGUGUAGCGGUGAAAUGCGCAGAUAUCAGGAGGAACACCGGUGGCGAAGGCGGCUUGCUGGGCCAGUUCUGACGCUGAGGAGCGAAAGCGUGGGGAGCGAACAGG
rnacentral:rRNA from 1 species